AAAGGGCUGCAAUAUUUUGAUUGUACUAAGGUAGCAUAAUAAUUAGUUUAUUAAUUGAAAACCUGCAUGAACGAUUGGAUAAAAUAUAAACUGUUUCAAUUUAAUAUAAAAAAUUUAAUUUUUUAUUUAAAAAGAAAAAAUAAUAAUAAAAGACGAGAAGACCCUAUAAAGUUUUAUAAUUUAAUUUUAUAUUUAAUUAUUUAUAUAAUAUAAAUUAAUAAUUUAUUAAAUUAUUUUAUUGGGGUGAUAAUAAAAUAUGAAUAACUUUUAUUUUAAUAUAACAUAGAUUUAUGAUUUAUUGAUUAAUUUUUUUUAUCAUAAGAUUACCUUACUUUAGGCAUAACAGCAUAAUUAUAUUUUUUAGUUUGUAUAAAAAGUAUAGAUUGUGACCUCGAUGUUGGAUUAAAAUUAAAAUUAAAAUUAAAAAUUUAAUAUUUUUGAUCUGUUCGAUCAUUAAAAUUUUACAUGAUCUGAG
rnacentral:rRNA from 1 species